UACGUAGGGGGCAAGCGUUGUCCGGAAUCAUUGGGCGUAAAGCGCGUGUAGGCGGCUCGAUAAGUCUGCUGUGAAAGUCCAGGCUCAACCCUGGGAUGCCGGUGGAUACUGUCGAGCUCGAGUCCGGAAGAGGAGUGGUGGAAUUCCUGGUGUAGCGGUGAAAUGCGCAGAUAUCAGGAGGAACACCAAUGGCGAAGGCAGCACUCUGGGACGUGACUGACGGCUGAGACGCGAAAGCGUGGGGAGCGAACAGG
rnacentral:rRNA from 1 species